GAUGAACGCUAGCGGCAGGCUUAACACAUGCAAGUCGAGGGGUAGAAGUUGCUUGCAACUUUGAGACCGGCGCACGGGUGCGUAACGCGUAUGCAAUCUACCUUAUACAGAGGGAUAGCCCAGAGAAAUUUGGAUUAAUACCUCAUAGUAUAAUUGAAUGGCAUCAUUUAAUUAUUAAAGUUCCAACGGUAUAAGAUGGGCAUGCGUCCUAUUAGCUAGAUGGUAAGGUAACGGCUUACCAUGGCAACGAUAGGUAGGGGUCCUGAGAGGGAGAUCCCCCACACUGGUAAUGAGACACGGACCAGACUCCUACGGGAGGCAGCAGUGAGGAAUAUUGGACAAUGGGCGCAAGCCUGAUCCAGCCAUGCCGCGUGCAGGAAGAAGCAUCUAUGGUGUGUAAACUGCUUUUGUACGGGAAGAAACACCCCUUCGUGAAGGGACUUGACGGUACCGUAAGAAUAAGGAUCGGCUAACUCCGUGCCAGCAGCCGCGGUAAGAC
rnacentral:rRNA from 1 species